CUCUUGAAACAGCGUUGGAAGUGAGCUGUCAUCAACUCCAUGGGCGAAAGUCUGACGGGGAAACUUGUGAAGACUUGUCAAGGUUGUGUCCUACCAGCCUAGGAUGAGCCAAAAUUCUUUGACUCUAUAAUCUCCUUUGUAAGACUUUAAUUGUGGAUUGAGCCAUUUGAUCAUCUUAAAUUCUCAAUCUGUAGAAGAAAUCAAUCACGAAUCUUGAGUUGGGAUGGUCUAUCGCUGUAUUCUGGCUUUCUCGUGCUAUUGUAACUAAAGACUACCAGCAGAGCCUUUUCAAUUUAUUAAUAUUUUAGAGCUAUGUAGAUUGAGCCUUUUCAUUUUGUUAUCAACCUUGCUCUAUAUUGCACGGUAGUUUGAUAGCCAGUAUAGGAUCUGGUCUAGUUUUGAACCUAGGUCCCUCUUGUAAAUAUCUAUUUUCUAUCAACUUUGUGCUUGGAGCUGGUAGAAGGCAAAAAUUAAUUCACUGUUGAUGGUAGUUCAUUUAAAAAUGAUAGCUGGGAAUCUUUAAGUCUAUUUUCGAAAUCCCUGGUGGCAUAUAGGCAUGCAUGAUUAAGUCUGAACAAGACUUUGGAUUAGAUAUUUAGCGAGUUUAUAAGCAGAUAGGCUGACUACUUUUUUUUGUUUGUCCUUUAUGGUUGUUGUUAUAUUUUUCUCUAAGACUGUUGCUCUGGUACUCUUUCUUCAAUUUGUCAUUUUGUUUUCUCCUGCUCCGGGUUAGUAGGUCUAGUUUAUCAGUGACAGAUACUGUGCAAAAACUGUGCGAUUUUUCCCAAGCUUCAGUUUCUUCAGAAAAAUAACCCUAUUUUACAUUAAAUGAUCUCUUUAAUUUUGCUUAUUUGCUAGCAAGUUCCCUUAACCUACAAGAGGGAAGAAGAAAUCUGCUACUUACUAAAGUUAGGUUUUGCACAAGUUUUUUGUAUUACAAUUCUUAUCAUGCCAGAAGAAGGGCUAAUUACCUACCAAUAUUGCUUCCCUCAGGUCCAGUUCCCUUGUUCCCAUGCUAAAGGAUGUUCUUCUAGAUCAUUAACCAUCUCCCAAAUGUCAUCUUCACUGCUGUCUUGGAGUUCAGAGUGGUUUCCUCCGGAAGGUGAAGUACCUGAGGAGCUUAUCUCCAUCAUUGUGGGUCUCUCAGAAGAUAUUGUAGUCCUAUUGUCAUGAAGUUGUGUUCCUCGUGGCACAGUUUCUAGCGGGCGUCUAUCA
rnacentral:lncRNA from 1 species